rnacentral:rRNA from 1 species
CCUACGGGAGGCAGCAGUGAGGAAUAUUGGUCAAUGGACGAGAGUCUGAACCAGCCAAGUAGCGUGAAGGAUGACUGCCCUAUGGGUUGUAAACUUCUUUUAUAUGGGAAUAAAAUGUUCCACGUGUGGGAUUUUGUAUGUACCAUAUGAAUAAGGAUCGGCUAACUCCGUGCCAGCAGCCGCGGUAAUACGGAGGAUCCGCGCGUUAUCCGGAUUUAUUGGGUUUAAAUGGAGCGUAGGUGGAUUGUUAAGUCAGUUGUGAAAGUUUGCGGCUCAACCGUAAAAUUGCAGUUGAAACUGGCAGUCUUGAGUACAGUAGAGGUGGGCGGAAUGCGUGGUGUAGCGGUGAAAUGCUUAGAUAUCACGAAGAACUCCGAUUGCGAAGGCAGUUCACUGGACUGCAACUGACACUGAGGCUCGAAAGUGUGGGUAUCAAACAGGAUUAGAUACCCGGGUAGUC